rnacentral:lncRNA from 1 species
CCUUUGGCUUAUGUAUCUUAUCUGGCCUCUUUCUGCUAAGGCGAAGUGCCCCGUCUGUUCCUGUCAGACUGCUGCCUGCCAUUUAGUGACAAUUUACAAAGCAUAUACGUGAGCUUCUGUCACACCUGAAAGCAAAGAGAGGGAUUGUCAGUAUAUUUAUACUGAAUUAGAAAGGAUUUUCUAGUGCAUUUUCUGUAUGCAGGCAUCUAAGUGCAUACCAAGUUAUGGCAUGGCAUUUGUACUUUUUAAUUUGCCAUCUCAUCUCCCCUUCCCUCAGAAAAUAGAAUUUUGGAAUACAUGGUAGAUGAAAACAAGAUGUUAAUUUUAAAUCAUAGGUUUGUUUCAUCGCACUGUUCAGGUGGUCGGCCAUUGCAACACAUCUACCAAAUCGCACAGACAAUGAGAUCAAGAACUACUGGAACACACACCUCAAGAAAAGGCUGGCCAAGAUGGGGAUCGAUCCUGUCACCCACAAAUCUCUCAGUGGCACUCUCACUGGCACCACAAACAACA